UCUAACUCACAGCAAUCAUCCUACCUCAGCCUCCCAAGUGCAGGAUUACAGGCCUAUACCACCACACCUGGCUCAGGAAAGGAACAGAACUUCAUUCACACAAGAAAUAAGCUUCCAGGGCAGACUCCAGCUUUCCAAUGCAGACUCUUUGGCUUUCCAACACAGACUCACACCAGUGACUGAAGCGAGCUUCCUGGCCUUCGACCUUCAACUGCUACUGCACCCUCUGGCUCUCUGAUGUGCAAACAGCCACUGGGACUCUUCCUCUUCUAAUGUUAAUGAACAUCUCCAUGAAGAUGAUUAAGCGAAAACAAACUACAAGACAGUAGAUCUAACUGGGCAUGUUGGCACACACUUAUAAUCCCAGCACCUGGGAGGAUAAAGUAGGAGAAUUACCGCAAGUACAAGGCCAUCUGGGGCUACAUAGUGAGUUCAAGGCCAGCCUAAACUGCAUAUAUCCCAUCUCAAAAAAACAAGGACAAAAAAAAAGAUGAUAGGUUUAAAUCUAACUGCAUCAAUAAGUACAUCAAGUACAGCAUAGUAAAGAACUCCUAAUUAAAACAUAAACAAGAACAGCAAGACUCAAGAAUAUGUUAAACAAACUGAGAAUCAACUAUUCUUAGGUACCACAGAGAAUUGAAGUCACAGGGAAAACAUCAGUUAAAAAACUGCAGAGAAGACAAAAACAGAAUCACUGCUUAUAAAGAGCAGAAAUCACCACUGGAAUCAGUAACUGCUAAUAAAUUUAAAGAGUAACUAACUAAUUACAGAGAAGGAGUAUAGACUGGUUUGAGAGAAAAAAAACUCUGGAAACCCAGACUAAGGAAGGGCUCCACACUUCCAUGAGCUGGAAGCUCUUCCAGGUUUGAGGAACUUGCCUGUGCAGCGCAAGAAAGGACUCUACCUUCCACGGGCUUCAAACUUUCAACUUCCAGCUGCUAACAGGCUCUACACCUUUGAUCCCCAUAGCACAGGGCUAGACAGGUGAUGAUCAAACUGACCUGAUCAAAGAAGAGGUCAUAUGCCAGAGAAAAGGUAAGCCUGCCUGAAAGAGUUGGCUGCUUCAGUGAAAAACACUAGCCACAAGAAAAGCCCACAGCUGGUAUAAAUAAAAAAAUCAGUUUGGGGCUUUACCUGGAGAGUGGCUUCUUCACAAUGGAAUAGCCCUGAAAAACAAUCCAGUACAUAGCCCGCCAUAUUGCCAGGGAAAAUUUAAUUAUGUGCCAUUUUGGGAAGGGUUGAUGGUGCAAAACUGAGUGAUGAAACACCACAGUUUCACUCCAGGACUGAACUGUUUCCCUACUACAGUGACUGGAUGAGGGACGGCCAGAGACAGACUGGGAGAACGUGAGCUAGACAAAUCCCCCCAAGUCCCCUAAGAAGUUCAAGUUCAGGCCAGGAAGGAUGGCCUAUGUUCUGUGGUGGGAGGCAAGAUCUGGCUUUCAGAGGGGGCUAGAUCCAAAAGUGAUGGCACUGAAUCCAGCAGCCUGCUUAAGCCCCCACCAUACUGCCUACACCCAGAGGAAACCAGUGGUUUGAUUGCUUCCUUCCUGGAGACCACUACAAAGACCUGAGCAAGAUUUAAAUUAAUCACUUGGCUUUUCAUGUUCACUUGUGAAUCUAUCCAAGGCCUAGGCUCCUUAUCUGGAGAUGGCAGAC